rnacentral:rRNA from 1 species
UGGGGAAUUUUGGACAAUGGGCGAAAGCCUGAUCCAGCAAUGCCGCGUGUGUGAAGAAGGCCUUCGGGUUGUAAAGCACUUUUGUCCGGAAAGAAAUCCUUGGCUCUAAUACAGUCGGGGGAUGACGGUACCGGAAGAAUAAGCACCGGCUAACUACGUGCCAGCAGCCGCGGUAAUACGUAGGGUGCAAGCGUUAAUCGGAAUUACUGGGCGUAAAGCGUGCGCAGGCGGUUUGCUAAGACCGAUGUGAAAUCCCCGGGCUCAACCUGGGAACUGCAUUGGUGACUGGCAGGCUAGAGUAUGGCAGAGGGGGGUAGAAUUCCACGUGUAGCAGUGAAAUGCGUAGAGAUGUGGAGGAAUACCGAUGGCGAAGGCAGCCCCCUGGGCCAAUACUGACGCUCAUGCACGAAAGCGUGGGGAGCAAAACAGGAUUAGAUACCCCUGGUAGUCCACGCCCUAAACGAUGUCAACUAGUUGUUGGGGAUUCAUUUCCUUAGUAACGUAGCUAACGCGUGAAGUUGA